UACGGAGGGGUGCAAGCGUUAUCCGGAUUCACUGGGUUUAAAGGGUGCGUAGGCGGGCAGGUAAGUCAGUGGUGAAAUCUCCGGGCUUAACCCGGAAACUGCCGUUGAUACUAUCUGUCUUGAAUAUCGUGGAGGUAAGCGGAAUAUGUCAUGUAGCGGUGAAAUGCUUAGAUAUGACAUAGAACACCCAUUGCGAAGGCAGCUUACUACACGAUCAUUGACGCUGAGGCACGAAAGCGUGGGGAGCAAACAGG
rnacentral:rRNA from 1 species